CUCUGCAUAGCAUAGUGGUUUGAGCGUUCGACUAUGAUUCUGAAGACUGGGGUUUGAUUCCCUCCUCGGCCA